rnacentral:rRNA from 1 species
GAUGAACGCUAGCGGCAGGCCUAACACAUGCAAGUCGAGGGAGAGGUUAUCUUCGGGUAACCAAAACCGGCGCACGGGUGCGUAACGCGUAUACAAUCUGCCUUUCACAUAGGGAUAGCCCGAAGAAAUUUGGAUUAAUACCUAAUGGUAUAUAGGAGCGGCAUCGUUUUUAUAUUAAAGCUACGGUGGUGAAAGAUGAGUAUGCGUUCUAUUAGCUAGUUGGAGAGGUAACGGCUCCCCAAGGCGACGAUAGAUAGGGGUUCUGAGAGGGAUGUCCCCCACACUGGUACUGAGAUGCGGACCAGACUCCUACGGGAGGCAGCAGUGAGGAAUAUUGGACAAUGGUCGGAAGACUGAUCCAGCCAUGCCGCGUGCAGGAUGAAGGUCCUAUGGAUUGUAAACUGCUUUUGUAAGGGAAGAAUAAGGAGUACGUGUACUUUGAUGACGGUACCUUACGAAUAAGCAUCGGCUAACUCCGUGCCAGCAGCCGCGGUAAUACGGAGGAUGCGAGCGUUAUCCGGAAUCAUUGGGUUUAAAGGGUCCGUAGGCGGGCUGAUAAGUCAGAGGUGAAAGCGCUUAGCUCAACUAAGCAACUGCCUUUGAAACUGUCAGUCUUGAAUGAUUGUGAAGUAGUUGGAAUGUGUAGUGUAGCGGUGAAAUGCUUAGAUAUUACACAGAACACCGAUAGCGAAGGCAUAUUACUAACAAUUUAUUGACGCUGAUGGACGAAAGCGUGGGGAGCGAACAGG